AAUGCUCCAGAUGCCACAUCUGAAAGAAAUGGUUGCCAAAGCACUCAAGAGAGGAAAUCUCCAGACUUAUCCAGAUUUCAGCGGAGCACGGGCACGGUGAAAUCACCAUUCAGCAGAGCAGGGAGAAGCAACCUCAAACCAGCCCUUCCUCCUGAGAUGUGACCUCCCAAGCCACGUAGCAAUGAGUUCGGUACUGACCUUCACACAAAGUUUGGUGUCCCCAUGCCAUCCAAUUGCAUGUCAUUUCUGUUGGUUUUGUGAAGACUAAACAGAUGUCUCCCAUGGAAAGAAAACAAAACAGAAAACUGGAAGAGCAGGAGCCUUUCCCCAGCCUGGGGAGCCGGACCCAAGGGGGGAGGUCCCGUGCCCUGCUCCUGGUGGUUUUUCUGGAGGUUUUGUCUUAUUGUUCCUCCUGCCUUGGGGCAGGGGCUCCAGUCCUGCACUUCAGGGCCGGUCCAUCAAAGGAAGUGGUGGCCUUGUGGCCCAAGGCGAACAAGUCGAUGAGGCUUUACGAAGACCUUUGCAUUUCCAAAGCUGCAGCUGUAGCUGUGCUGCGUUCCUGCCUGGCUCCAGAUGGAAGUGUGUUAGCUUAAAUCACCGAGGCUGGCUUUAAAGCAGCUAUCCCGAGCCUGCUCUGCAGCCUGUGCAGUUCCCCAGCCUGGAAUUGUGCAAUUGGUUAUUUCUACGUAAGUACAGUAUUCUGCAUGGUCUUUGCUAAAUAAGAUUAAUUUUUCUUUUUAAGAUUUCUUCAGUUUGUCGAGACCUGAUUGAAUUUUACUUCUGUCCUCAUGCAUGUUUGCAGUCCCUCCCUGCACAGUGUUAUCAGCAAAUCUCGCAUGUGUUCUUUCUUCUGUCAUCCAAGUCAUUAAUGAAAAAACUAAUAAUGCUG
rnacentral:lncRNA from 1 species